rnacentral:misc_RNA from 1 species
GGCUCCACAACUGUGUCCGAUACCUUUGGCGAGGGGAAAACAGAGAACGAAAGCAUCAUUCUGUCUGGAUAUUCUUCUCUGAUCUUUGAAAUGAGUAGAGUUCCCAUUCCAGAACCUGUGCCUCCUCCAAGUGAGUGGCAUACCUGAAAACCUUGCAAGCAAUCACAAUUCUCAGCCUCCUUGCGAACGACAUCAAGAACAGCAUCGAUCAACUCGGCUCCCUCAGUGUAAUGACCUUU